rnacentral:rRNA from 1 species
GACGAACGCUGGCGGCGUGCUUAACACAUGCAAGUCGAACGGAAAGGCCCAGCUUGCUGGGUACUCGAGUGGCGAACGGGUGAGUAACACGUGGGUGAUCUGCCCUGCACUCUGGGAUAAGCCUGGGAAACUGGGUCUAAUACCGGAUAUGAUCAACUGUCGCAUGGUGGUUGGUGGAAAGCUUUUGCGGUGUGGGAUGGGCCCGCGGCCUAUCAGCUUGUUGGUGGGGUAAUGGCCUACCAAGGCGACGACGGGUAGCCGACCUGAGAGGGGGAUCGGCCACACUGGGACUGAGACACGGCCCAGACUCCUACGGGAGGCAGCAGUGGGGAAUAUUGCACAAUGGGCGCAAGCCUGAUGCAGCGACGCCGCGUGAGGGAUGACGGCCUUCGGGUUGUAAACCUCUUUCAGCACCGACGAAGCGCAAGUGACGGUAGGUGCAGAAGAAGGACCGGCCAACUACGUGCCAGCCGCCGCAGUAA